AUCGAACUUCGGGGCGGGGCGAAAUUCCCCACCGGCGGUGAUUUGACAAAAUUCAUUAAUCAAAUGUUAAUGAAUGAAAGCAAACAGCCCGCGAGCGCUUAAUAUUUUACUUUUAGUAAAGCUUUAAGGUCAGCAGAUCUGGUGUGAUUCCAGAGCCGACGGUUACAGUCCGGAUGAUAGAAGAUCGAC
rnacentral:ncRNA from 2 species